rnacentral:rRNA from 1 species
GAUGAACGCUGGCGGCGUGCCUAAUACAUGCAAGUCGAGCGAACAGACGAGGAGCUUGCUCCUCUGACGUUAGCGGCGGACGGGUGAGUAACACGUGUAUAACCUACCUAUAAGACUGGUAUAACUUCGGGAAACCGGAGCUAAUACCGUAUAAUAUAUUGAACCGCAUGGUUCAAUAGUGAAAUACGGUUUUGCGGUCACUUAUAGAUGGAUCCGCGCCGGAUUAGCUAGUUGGUAAGUUAACGGCUUACCAAGGCAACGAUGCGUAGCCGACCGGAGAGGGUGUUAGGCCACACUGGAACUGGGCCACGGUCAAGACUCCUAAGGGAGGCAGCAGUCGGGAAUCUUCCGCAAUGGGCGAAAGCAUGACGGAGCGACGCCGCGUGAGUGAUGAAGGUCUUGGGAUCGUAAAACUCUGUUAUUAGGGAAGAACAAAUGUGUAAGUAACUAUGCACGUCUUGACGGUAACUAAUCAGAAAGCAACGGCUAACUACGUG